rnacentral:rRNA from 1 species
GUCUUGACGGUACCUAAUCAGAAAGCCACGGCUAACUACGUGCCAGCAGCCGCGGUAAUACGUAGGUGGCAAGCGUUAUCCGGAAUUAUUGGGCGUAAAGCGCGCGUAGGCGGUUUUUUAAGUCUGAUGUGAAAGCCCACGGCUCAACCGUGGAGGGUCAUUGGAAACUGGAAAACUUGAGUGCAGAAGAGGAAAGUGGAAUUCCAUGUGUAGCGGUGAAAUGCGCAGAGAUAUGGAGGAACACCAGUGGCGAAGGCGACUUUCUGGUCUGUAACUGACGCUGAUGUGCGAAAGCGUGGGGAUCAAACA